AAGGGUUCCUGUCCAACGUUAAUCGGGGCAGGGUGAGUCGACCCCUAAGGCGAGGCCGAAAGGCGUAGUCGAUGGGAAACAGGUUAAUAUUCCUGUACUUGGUGUUACUGCGAAGGGGGGACGGAGAAGGCUAUGUUAGCCGGGCGACGGUUGUCCCGGUUUAAGCAUGUAGGCUGAUUGUCCAGGCAAAUCCGGAUAAUCAAGGCUGAGGUGUGAUGACGAGGCACUACGGUGCUGAAGUAACAAAUGCCCUGCUUCCAGGAAAAGCCUCUAAGCAUCAGGUAACAU
rnacentral:rRNA from 1 species